rnacentral:sRNA from 1 species
UCAGUUGUCUUCUAAUGAUCUAGUUGUGCUCGGAUAUGUAACGACAAGGUUAUUUUUCACACUUCAGCAUUCAAAGCAUGCUUAUGCAUCAUUUUAAAAGAGAAAAGGUUCUUUUUUACAAAACAUGUUUUAUUAAUAUUGAUCUUAAAUGUAAUCAGCUGAAAUUGACAGUAUUGAAUCAUUGCACCAAUUUGAGGCUAAAGCAUGCAAUAGAGCCAGAUAUCACUGUUGAUUCUCCAUAAUUAUUUUUUUCUCUGACCUAUUUUACAAUGUGUUAUUUGGUCUUAGAUUUGUUAUUAUGCAAUCCUUGAGGGCUGUGGUUAUAUUUUACUGAUGUAUUUAUAUUAUGUAUUGUGAUUCCCCCCGUUUUAUCAUGACACCCUCCCCUGGUGCUAGGAGAUAGGUCAGACAAUGCCAUCACAAAUCUCCUGAACAAAAUCUCUCACAAACCUAGAACUGUAAUGCAAGCUCUGUCACAAACAUCAAAAACCCAGACAAAGAGCUUUUAUUAUUUAUAGAGUGGAUGUUUUAGCAGAGUAAAAGGUGCUCAAAUUUAAUUAAUAAGAAUCUUUUUUAAACUGAAGUUUCAAGUGAAGAAGUUACAACAAAUUUUUUGUAUGUUUGUAUAAUUUUAACAGCAAUGGAAUUUUUUAUUUAUUUUCUUUUCCUCUCUCCAAAAGAAAUGAAUCUAUAGAUCUUCUCUUUGUGUAAUAUUGUAAAUUCUUCUCUCUCUUUUUAUUUAAAGAAAUGAGUUAAAAACUAGUUUUAGAUCUUUAGGAAGCCCAGAUCUGCUGAACUGAAACAAAUUCCAUGAUGCUUACUUAUAAAUCUUUUUUAUAUUCAUUGACCAAAAGCCAAACCAAAUAUGAACUCUAUCUCCUAUGCAAGAUCUCCCAUAGAAUGCAGUAUUUGUAAACCUUUUUGGCACAAAGAAACAGAAGAAGGGCAUUUAGUUCAUAAAAGAUGUAUGAGGAAGAAGCAAUAUAUUGAUGUUUUCUGCUUAAUAACAUUGGAGCAAAAUAAUGUGUGUCCGUGAAAUAUUAAUAAUGUAAACUGAUGUUAUCUAACACUGCUACAAUGAUUUAGAGUCAUUUUGCUACAGGAAUUCAGGAUAAUUUGGCCAGAAGUCAGUCACUGAGGACUACUCUGAACAACAGACCAAACCUCUUCUCACUUUUUGGUUUUGAACAGAAUUUUUUUCUCCUUUUAUCCCUUUUAAAAGGGGUUUGACAAAAUUUACAGGGUACUAGAAUAAUGAUCAAAAUUAGGAUUUGGGUGGAUCUAAGUCUAUAGGGAUUUAAGAUAAUCUAAAAGGUGAGAAAUGUCAGGAGCCAGUGUGCUCCAUUUAUAGAAAUGUAGAAGUUGAUCAAAGGGAGAUAACCAUUAGUUUGAUCAAAGGGAGAUAACUGGUGUAGAACAAAGGCCUGAUUUUAGUGUGUUUUAUAUUGAGAUGUGCUACAGUGACAGAGUUAGCAAUAUUUCAGACCAGCAAUAGACAGUGCAGAUAAUUAAUUCAGACUUAGAAGUGAUCAAUUUGUGAAUGAUGUUUGCUUUUAAAAUUCUAUAGUAUUUUAAGAUGAAUAAAUCAUUGUAUAUCUUG